UGCAUGGUUGUCGUCAGCUCGUGCCGUGAGGUGUCGGGUUAAGUCCCAUAACGAGCGCAACCCUUAUCGUUAGUUGCCAGCGGGUCAUGCCGGGAACUCUAACGAAACUGCCGGUGUAAACCGUGAGGAAGGUGGGGAUGACGUCAAAUCAGCACGGCCCUUAUGUCCAGGGCUACACACGUGUUACAAUGGCCGGUACAGAGGGCAGCUACCUGGAGACAGGAUGCGAAUCUCCAAAGCCGGUCUCAGUUCGGAUCGGAGUCUGCAACUCGACUCCGUGAAGCUGGAUUCGCUAGUAAUCGCGCAUCAGCCAUGGCGCGGUGAAUAUGUCCCUGCUCCUU
rnacentral:rRNA from 1 species